rnacentral:miRNA from 1 species
GACUGGGCAGGACUGGGCAGGGCUGGGCAGGACUGGGCGGGAAUGUGACUCGGGGAAGUUCGGCUCUUCAUUCUG